AUUGAACGCUGGCGGCAUGCCUAACACAUGCAAGUCGAGCGUGCGGCGGACGGGUGAGUAAUGUCUGGGAACCUGCCUGUUGGCGGGGGAUAACUACUGUAUACGGUAUCUAAUACCGCAUACCAUCCGAUUUGCCCAGAUGGGUUUAGCUAGUAGGUGGGGUAACGGCCCACCUAGGCGACGAUCCCUAGCUGGUCUGAGAGGUUGACCGGCCACACUGGAACUGAGACACGGCCCAGACUCCUACGGGAGGCAGCAGUGGGGAAUAUUGCACAAUGGGCGAAAGCCUGAUGAAGCCAUGCCGCGUGUGUGAAGAAGGCCUUCGGGUUGUAAAGCACUUUCAUCGGGGAGGCGGUACCCGAAGAAGAAGCACCGGCUAACUACGUGCCAGCAGCCGCGGUAAUAC
rnacentral:rRNA from 1 species